rnacentral:tRNA from 1 species
GUGUGGCCGAGAGCCAGGCGGCGAGUUGUAGCCUCGCGUGCGGGGAGGUAGGGGACCCCCACUACCA